rnacentral:lncRNA from 1 species
AAGCAACAAGAAGUGAGACGAAUCCAUACAAAUCAAUAACUGAUCAUAUAUCAUCAAGUAGGAUCUUGAAAAUCCAGUCGUUUUAGGUAAAAAGCAUUCCACAUUACAGCAACUGGAGACCCACACACAUGAUCCUCCCCCCUCCUUCCCCAAAAGAUAAAAAAUAAGUUGGCCAAGGCUAGUGAGAAACAGUUAAAAGAAUGAAGAAUAUCAACCAGAAAAAACUCUCCAACCCUAUAUUGCUCUGUUCUUUCUUUUUCUCAAACACAAGUAGUACCACAGAAGGGACCUUUCCUCUGUUGGCUAUACACAUUUCCUACAGAUUCUACAAAUCCUUUCCGUGUGCGUCGUUAAGUGAGGUUUAUGACUUACAACACCACAUCCUUUCUGGUGAAAGUACAACCGAGAGUCGAGCGUGAUCAGAGAGAGUAUAAUCUUCGGGCCAUAUUCCCUUCUCCGCCUCACGGGGAUAUAGAACUGCAUUCUUCACAUUGAAUCCCAGGGAGUCCUGCAUGCCUCGUUUGGACUCCUCUCUACUACCGUUGAGACUUUCCUUAUCCUCUGACGCUGUUGAACUCCAAAUUCUAUUCUGCAAUGCCAAGGGUUUUAGACACGUGAUUUUAAUCUUGUAGUACUUUGGAAGGACUAUUACAUGACGGCAAUGCUAAUGUAAUUCAAAAGGAAAAUAAAUGAAAUUAUUAUGGAUGUAAUGUACCUUAAAUUCUUCGUAAUCAAGAACACCAUUUGCAUCGGCGUCUGCCUGGAUCCAGAGAUCCCUUGUCUCCUGGAAACCUAGUCCCGCAGGAUGACCAAUUAAAUUAACCUGCAAUAUACCUACAUGAGCAAGUCUUAUCUUUCCAUUUGAACUUUAUACAGCUUAAUAGCUAAUAGAACCAACCUGUUGUAGUGCUUCACAGAAAGCUGAGGACGUAAUAAAAUCACCAUGACUAUCACCCUUCAGAAAGGCAAAUGCAUCAUUUUCAGCCAUCGAAGCUUUUCGAAGCUGGCGCUGAAAACCCCAAAAGGAAAAAGGAAGUUAAAUGAUUGCAUGUAGAAACUGUCUAGAGCUUGCAUGCCCUAUAAUAUAAAGGAUCCAAGCAUCUUUUCAAAAGUUUUGAACAAAGCUUUCUGUGCACAAUAUAUCUGAUGAACUACGAUUCUUGCCCUCUGUGGCAAGGUAUCAGAUAGUAGGUAGAGAAAAUGUGAACGGAUGAGUAUUAAUGACAAUAAUAUAGAAUAUGUAAACCGAAUUGCUUACCCGUAAUAUUCAAAAACAGCUUCGCACCAACUAGUCUUUAGUGGUUUUCGUGACUUAUUGACGGCAACGAAAUGCAGCUGCCGCUGUAGCUUCUUGAAAGACUCUCACUUUCUCUGCGAUUAAUCUUUGCCACAUUAGAACCCGCACUUAAACCCUGCAACGACUCAAAAUUUUCAGUAUCCAUUAUCCAAUAAACGAUUUCCUAAGUACCCAUUUUCUCAGAAACCAAAUUCAUGGAAGAAAAGCAGAAGCAAUUGAGAGAAAGAAGAAAGAGACACUAUUUGUUAUAAGUUGAAAUUUUUCGUUGCAGAAAAAUAUAUACCCCACCGGGUGGCCGGGAACUCAUGACACUUACGUUGGGGGGCUUGUGCAUCACAUUUAAUGUGACAAAAAUGUAAAUAUUCAUAUGCUUAUAAAUAUCUUGGCCCACAAAUUGAGGCGUAAUCUUUUUAAGUAUCAAUUUUGAAUGGUAAUGCAGGUCUCCUUCAAACCAUUUUUGACCAAGCAAAAUUUUUGAGGCUGGUUGUGUGGGCUUUAAAGUUACGUAAUACAACCUUUGAACUAGGCUUGUAAACGGGUUGAGUUUAUCAGGUUUGGGUCGAGUUCAAUCUGACCCGUUAAGUUAACAGGUCAUCCAAACUCGACCCAUUAAGCUAAUGGAUCACCCGUUAACAAUUAUUAUUAUUAUUAUUUUACAUAGAGUUUAUUUUUUGUUGUUAAGAUUUUACUGAAAUUAUUAAAAUAUCCUCAACUAACGGGUUGACCCAAAGUGAUCCGUUAGUUAACGGGUUCACCUGUUAGCAACCCGACCCGUCAAGCAUCCACCCAAAUACUAAUAUUAACGGGUCGGGUACAAAAUGCCAGGUCUGCUGUGAACAAGACCCAUACAUUUUGCAUAUUCCGUUUAAAUAUUACGUAACACAACUUUAGAACAACAUUGGGGUGGUGGCGCAGUUGGCUUGCGCGUAGGUCUCAUAGCUUCUGGUGAUCCUGAGGGCGAGAGUUCAAGCCUUUCUCACCCCCAUUUCUUUUUAUCUUUUGCCAUUAUAGGAAAACAAAAACAUUUUAAAUUUCAACUUCUAACAACACGAACAUAGUCUAGUAUUAUUUAUCUUUCAUAAUUUUAAAUGAUAUCUCAAAAGUUCGAAUUUCCAUAUGAUUUUUUUAACAUCUCAACUUCUAACUUCUAACACUAUCAUGGUCUAACAGUAUUUAUCUUUUACAUUUUAAGAAAAUAUCUCAAGAGUUCGAAUCCCCGCUCCCCAAAUGAUUAAACAAAAAAAAAAUAUAUACCGUACUGAGAUUCCAGUACCAGCCAUAAAUCAUUACAUCUGAUCCGUAGAAACAGAAACAUGUCAAACUCCAUAGGCUAUGCCAAAUGUAAACAUUUCAUCACUGCAGAACAUGGCUGGUACUCCCACAUUUUAUAGCAAUAAGCAACCACUAAGUCUGGCAUUACUUUUUGUGUGACGCUCAUCUAGCACCACUGCCCGUAUAAACCUUCUUCCCAAGCAAAAACAAAGAACAAUAUCGCACCUAGAAGUAGAACCGUGUUGAAAAGGUAUACUGAUGGGGGACCUGUUAAUGGGGGGGAAGUUUCCCCGGAAAUGCAAGAACAGCUCAUCCAAUUGCCGGCGGUGGUUGCAUUGUGUGUCUGCUUCAAACCCUUUUCUGUAUUAUUGCCUUGAACCGCCUCUGCGUCUUUGUUAGAUUCUGUUAUAAAGUUCCUCUUCGGGGGGGAAAUCAACAGCAGCUCGACGCUCUGCAGCUACUUUGGCCUGCAAAAAUAAACCAGAUUAAGUUGUGGAAAUAGCCUCUCCAAAGAAACAUUAUUCAUGUUCUCCGUGCUGCAGUUUGGGUUCUCUCACUCACCUUGCUUUGCUGCUGUUCUAAUUCAUUAGGUUUGCCUAGUGCUAAGAGGGCACUUGUUGGAUAUGUUCUUCUGCGUGUUCUCUCACUGUUAUAGUAUUCGUCGGAGGCUAACUGAAUAGAGUUAAUCUGAAGGCUAACUGCAUCUACAUCCACAGAGGAAGCACUCUUUAAUUUUAAGGCAUUAAUGGGUCUUGAUGCACGUCGCAGCCUGCUUGUUAUUUGGUGUGUACCAGAAUCUUCAUCACUGAUUGAUUGAAGACGAUCAGUCUGAGGUUUAGGUAACACAUUGAUAGAGGAAGCAGCCUGUCCUAAGGUCUGGUUACGAAGCAUAACACCUUCCUCUCUUCCGAAGUGGCUCGAACUAGCUUGUGGCACACCAAGCAUUUGUAAACUCGGGCCCUAAAAAAUAAUAAUAAUCAGAAAAUAUGAGCAAGUUUCCAAAGUUGAGCGAAGUUCUAGCAUUUGACCUGUGGAAACCAUAACACAUUGACAAAAUUUGAUUUUAAGAUUCUAUGGGAGAAAGAUUUUUUACCUGUGCAGCUUGAUGUUGUACUUCUGUGUCUGAGUCACUGCUCACUCCACAAUCCGGUAAAUACACCUUCCUAGGUGACUGUGGCAGAGUGGAGUCGUUAAAGACGUUAUUGUGAGUUAUUUCUUCACUGUAACCCUGAUACGGGUCAUCCCCAAAAAGUCCAUUUACGAACUCUUCCAAAUUUUCAUCCAUUCCAUGGUAAUCAUUAUUACCACGCGUAUUUCCAAGCAUAAGAUCCAAUUCCCUCUGAAAAAUGUCCGGAUUUGGUGGUGGCUGAGUACGUUCCUGCAUAGUGAACAACAAGCAAGCAAAGGUUUUGGAUCUGUUUCUUUUGCUCCGAGUAUAUAUAUAUAUAUAUGAAGAAGUUUUAAUCACCAUUCGUGCUCGACAUUCUCACCUCUUCAACAUGCAUAUUACGUGCUGGUUGCAGUUGAUUUUCAAAGUCAGGUGCAUUGUUGUAAUUACUAGAUUCGCCUUCAUCACCGGUUGCAACAUCCGUGUUCUUACCUGAUUUCUUCUUUACGUAACAGAGAACGAAAUCCCUCUGCAAAUAAGUUGGAAAACCAGUUAUGUAAUGAAGUAGCACCAACAGAAAAUUAAACAAGGUUCCAAACCAAAAGCCACUAAACUUUGCAGAGUUACAGAAGAAGCCAAUUUGGCUAGAAGCCGAAUAGACUUGAGUUUCACAACCAAAACCCCUCCAGCCUCCGGUUUACAACUUGCCUCAUACAAUGCUGCAAAUUGCACAUCAUAUAUCGAUAACAAUAUUAACAAGAACCUGAAAAUAGAAAGAGAAUGAUGACCUGAUUAGCAUUAGGAGUGAUUUGAGGGAUGGAAAACUCAUGCAUGACCCAGUUGGUAAUUGGGGCAUUACGACCGCGACCUUGGCGAAAUGUCAGAAUCCUCUUUUUACCGAUAAUUUUGUUGUCUCGAGCCUUGACUAUUUUUUCCUUCCCGGUGCUCUUCCAGAAGCCUGUGGCCGUCGCCCUUUCAACUUCGUUUCUGCUGUUUUUUUUGUAAAUUGGUCGGUUGUAGAAGUACCAUUCAUCAUCCGACUUUAUCAGUGAAAUCUCUGCAUAAAACACAACAUUUGGAUUAAACCAAUUGCAUACACAUUUUUAGACUCAUUCAAAUGCAAACUAAAAUGUAUCAGUAAAAGUGAAGAGUGUUGAGUGCUGAAAUCUCUGACCUUCGUAAAACGGUCACUCGAGAUAAAAAAAUAGUAACUUUAUGAACUGGGAUUGGUAAUAAGUUACGUUUGGAUUAAACCCAAAUACCAAUGGCAAAUACAGAUUAUCAGACUCAUCGGACUAAGAAAAAUAAUGAAAAUUUAAGACCUGGGGCUUUGCAAAUAAUUACCAGGCAAUUCCCUGGGCUCGUAGUUGCAGAUAUUGAUUUCACGGAUGGCGUCGCUGACGAGGGAAUCCUUUCCCCGGAGCUUCAACUUCAAGUAAUGGCUGAUCAGCUCUUCUUCUGUGGGGUGGAAUCGGUAUCCCACUGGCAGUAACAGGCCUUCUACUUCUACUCUAGUGAAGCGGAUUCCAUUGGAAGCCAUCCUCUUUCAUGAAGGAGAAGGGGAAUGCUGGCUGGGUUUUUGUAGGAUUAAGAAAACAAGAGAAACAGUACGGAAAUUGACUUGGUGUUGAUCAAGUCUUCGUGGUUUUCAGCGGACGCUUUUUGCUUAUGGAAGUAACUAUUAAGCUUCGGCUUCUGCUUUUACAUGGUGCGGUGGGGAAUUUUUGUUGUCGUGACUUUUGGUGGGACCCCGGGGAAUCCUACGUGUGGAACUGUUUGCCGUAUGUAUGGCUGGGUGGGUGUGCUUCCUCGGAGAGGACUGAAAAGCUACAGGGAUCAUGAGAAAAUUUUGUAUCCCCUUUUGUCAAUCCAAGAUUAAAUGAGGGUAGGUGUAGGAUAAAGAGUCGAUAAGGUAGAACGAGAAAGUCUAAUUGAGAAAAUCGGUAGCAUUCUCAUGGAGUUAUUUCCAAUUAAAAUAGAUCUCCAUAUAUUGUCACUGUAGACAUCGAAAUUUCGGUAAAUAAAUGUUGACCGAUAAAUCAAAGUGUCAACGCUCAUGUAUUACAUAAAUUUUACACGUAGCGUGUGACUCAAUGAAAAUUGAAAUGAGUUGGAAAAGUCAUCAAAUAGGACACGUGUCAACACCUGGCAGAAACGACUUAUUUCAUCUGGGAUAUUAUAUUCAAAAUUAGGCAUUGGAAAUUUCUAUAAAUAGAAGGCUAAUUCAUUCAUAAGGGGGACCAAUUCAGAUUACACAUUGAAGCUCUGAAGCUCUGAAACUCCGAAGCUCUCAAGCAUCCAGGUUCCCGAAGAAUCAAGAAAGCCUUCUUCGUUCUUCGUUCAUCGCUCUUUCAAGAUCAAGCCCCGACGGCCCUUGAAGAAAGCACCAUCGUUCAUCAUCCGUUCAUCCAAGAUCAAGCCCUAACGGCCAUUUGGAUCAACAAACGUCGACAAAUCCACACAUCCAACCGUUCUUCAAGAUCAAGCCCAAAAGCCCUUGAAGAUCCGUUCAUCACUGUUCUUCAAAGAUCAAACCCAAACACCCUUGAAGAUCCGCUCAUCACCGUUAUUCAAGAUCAAGCCUCAAACGGCCCUUGAAGAAACAUUCAUCCUCAAGAUCAAGCCCCAACGGCUCCUUGAAGAUCCGCUCAAAUCCAACUUCAAAGAUUAAGCCCACGGCCCUUUGAAGAAACUUCCAACUGUUCAUCCAAGAUCAAGCCUCGACGCCCCUUGGAUCAACAAAAUAUCCACAAAUCAACACCUUACGGAGAUCGAAUCAGAGGAUCAAAUUUGAGAGAGAUUGUAACCCAAAAUCAUCAAAUACAAAUAUUUGUUUGUGCGCGUUGUUCUUGUCUCUUUCGUUUCAGGAAUUUUCCGUGUUCACAAAUUGGCACGCCCAGUGGGACAAUCUCUACCUCUCAUCUCUUCCUCCGUUCAAGGAAUAUAAGUACACUUCCAAAAUCAAUGACAUCAAGGAAGGCUCAAGCUGUUCCCAUAACCGGCGCAAAGAACAAAGGCACCCUCGUCGCAAGUGUGUGUCACGUUGGGUAUCACGACUCGAAGCAUGGCAAAAGCUACUUCUGCCGCCUCUUUCACCUCUGCAUCAACUCUGCCAAGGGAACAAAAACACCCAAGGCACGAGCCUUUGAUCACCUUAGCCUCACUAAGGGCACCAAGGGGGGAAAGCCCAAGGAAAUACUCUGAAUCCAUGCUCUCCGAUGCCGAUUCAAGCGACAGUUCAGCCAUGCAAGUCAUGACCAUUGGAGCAACUUCAAUCGAUGAGCAGCUAGCUCAAAUGAAUGAAGCAAUCGCAAGGCUAACCCGAACUGUGGAAGAAAAAGACUUGCAAAUUGCAGCAUUAGUCAACCGACUGGAGGCGCAGGAUGGCGAUAAACCCGACCCAGAGGAUGAUCCACUAAAGGGAGGAGCUGGCGGAGACGAAGAACCCCCAGUGAAGAAAAUCGAUGGGAAGCCGGAGCCAGACCAAGCAGCGGCACUCAUGGGAUCUCUUUCUAUCCAGCAGCUGCAGGAGAUGAUCACCAACACCAUCAAGGCACAGUACGAAGGGAGCUCACAUACCUCCUUGUUCUACUCGAAACCCUAUUCCAAGAAGAUUGAUGCCCUAAGGAUGCCAAGGGGUUAUCAACCACCAAAGUUCAUGCAGUUUGAUGGAAAAGGAAACCCAAAGCAGCACGUUGCACAUUUCGUCGAAACUUGCAACAACGCGGGGACGGAGGGAGACUACCUCGCCAAGCAGUUUGUGCGCUCGCUGAAAGGAAACGUCUUUGAGUGGUACACAGACCUAGAACCUGAGACCAUCAACAGUUGGGAGCAAUUAGAGCGGGAAUUCCUCAACCGCUUCUAUAGCACCCGCCGCACUGUGAGCAUGCUAGAGCUAACAAGCACAAAGCAGUGGAAGGACGAACCAGUCAUUGACUACAUCAACAGAUGGCGCACUCUAAGCCUCGACUGCAAAGACAGGCUCUCGGAAACCUCUUCAAUCGAGAUGUGCAUCCAAGGCAUGCAAUGGGGUUUGCAAUACAUCCUUCAAGGCAUUAAACCACGGACCUUCGAGGAAUUGGCCACCCGCGCCCAUGACAUGGAGUUGAGCAUCGCUCAUCAUGGGAAGAAGGAACCGAUCGCCGACUACAAGAACGACAAAGUUCUUGAGACAAAGGUGGAGAAGGCUGCAUGGAAACCCACCAAGGAAGCAAUGACGGUCAACACAGCUCCCGUCAAGAUCUCCACACGAGGCAAGGCGAUUCAAACCGAAGCUUUUCGUGAUCAAGAGAUGCGUAGACGUACUUUGAAGGAGCUUUAGGAGAAGACUUAUCCAUUCCCCGACUCUGAUGUGGUUGCCAUGUUAGAAGACUUGCUGGAAAAGAAGGUGAUCGGCUUGCCUGAGUACAGACGGCCAGAAGAGAUGAAUCGCACCGACAGUCCAAGGUACUGUAAAUUCCACCGCUUCAUCAGUCAUCCGACAGAAAAGUGCUUCGUGCUGAAAGAUCUCAUCAUGAAGCUGGCUCAAAAAGGAAUCAUCGAGCUAGAUCUUGACGAUGUGGUGGAGUCAAACUAUACCACCUCCACUUUUGGCUCUUCCGACUCAAAGUUUUCACCUCAACCGCUGGGGGCAUCCUCCAAGACAAGCAAAGUUGAAGGAUGGACUCAAGUCACUCCUAAGAAAUUGCACAAGAAGCAUACGUCUCCUCCACAUGUCCGCCAAUUGGAAAGGGGGCAAAGCAGCUCUUGUCAACCUUCAAAGCAACAUGAACGUGUUGAAGAUGAUGAAAUUUUGACACAUAGAUCGUCCAUCCCCAUCACGAUGCGCAAUUUCUUUCCUGAAGACUUCUUCAAUCACUCGGUCAAGGCUCCUUGUUAUGAAGAUUGCGAGGAACGACUCUCUCAGAUCGCUUGACGAACUAAUGCUCCUUGUUCGCACGAGCCUAAACUGCAUGAACCAAAGCUCCUUGUUCGCACGAGCCUAAACUGCACGAACCAACGCUCCUAGUCUGCACGAGCAUAAAAGGCAACACCAACGCUCCUUGUCUGCAUGAGCAUAAAAGGCAACACCAACGCUCCUUGUCCGCACGAGCUUAAAAGGCGACAACAAUUGCUCCUUGCCUGCAUGAGUUGAAACUGCAAAUGGCACCAAAAAGAAAAUACAAAAAAAUAUCUAUGUAUUUGAACUACGUUUACGACCUAAUCUCUUCUUUGGAGGGGUACAUAGGAGGCUUGAAUAUUCAAAAUUUGAGUUCAGUCACACCAAAAUAAGGAAUAAAGAUUUUAUUAAAAGUUUGAUGCUAUUACAAUUUUCUUUGUACAAAAAAAAAAAAAUAAGAGAGAAAAAGAGAUACAUGUUUUAUGUAUUUACAAAAAAAAAAAAAAUAUGUUUUUGUAUUAAAAAAAAAAUAUAUAUAUAUAUAUAUAUAAAGGGCCUCAAAAGAAGCCCCUGUCCAAAACCAGAUCAAAUUAGGCCCAGCUCCCGUAGCCUACUAUCUGCCAAAAUUCUUCAAAGCUCCCAAGCCACUCCCACCUCCUCACGGGCCCAACUCAGCACUCGGCUCUUCAAACCCAGAAGACAUCAAGAAGGGCAGUCUUGUGGUGGUUCUGGUGCACCCAUACUCCGUCCUUGGCGGCUGCGAAGGCCUGUUGAGAGGAAUAGCAGCUGGGGUGGCAGACAGAGGUGCCCCAAUUGCAGGCUCCGCAGUAGAUCAGAUAGAACAAGUCGUGGAGCAUAGUGGCUCGUGAAGCACCAAAAAACAUACAACGACAUCGGGGAGGAGGAGAGGAGGUUCGAGAUCUUAAGGACAACUUGAAGUUCAUCGACGAGUAUAACGCACUGGACCAUCCGUACAAGGUCGGUCUGAAUGCUUUCGCUGACCUGAUCAACCAGGAGUACCGUGCCAAGUUUUUGGGCACCAGGAGUGACCCUAAGCGCAGGGUCAUGAAAACCAAGAACCCGAGCCUGAGGUACGCUUUUCGCGCCGGCGAGACGUUGCCGGAAUCUGUGGAUUAGAGACUCAAGGGUGCCGUCAAUCCCAUAAAAAAUCAAGGAGGUUGCGGGAGUUGCUGGGCUUUUUCAACAGUGGCAGCAGUGGAGGGCAUAAACCAAAUAGUGACUGAAGAAUUGGUGUCUCUCUCUCAGAGCAAGAGCUCGUCGACUGUGACACGUCCUACAACGCCGGAUGCAAUGGCGGUCUCAUGGACUACGCCUUCGAGUUCAUUAUCCUAAACGGCGGCAUUGACACUGAAUCCGACUACCCUUAUCAAAGCCCAAAGGAAUCAUCACCUCCGGAGCCCAAAUCUAUGAAAAGGAGCAGCCCAAAAAACCCUUCUUUCCCAAAGCUCUCCAUCAGAGCCUCCUCCUCCGACUCCAACCCGGCGAACCCAACUCCUUUGGCCACUUCACUGCCUCCAUCAGACAUCAAAUUGUGGUCGUCUACUGCCGUUUCUUCCAGAGGGUUCGACAUGCCGGUGAGUCUUUGUCUGUUUACACAAUGAAGGAACUACAGAAAUCCAACUGGAAGAGCAUCUGGAUCCAGAUUCGAAACCGCCAAAGCACGGAAUCAAAAGCAAUGGAGAUUUCCCGCAGGAGAACGGGGGGCACUGCAAUUAAUCUUCACUCAUUCCUUCCACCGUCGCUCGACUCGGACGCCAUUGCAGACACCAUAAAGUCCUUUUUUUCCCAACAAUUGCGGAGAAGACGAUCACUUUCCCUGGUUCGGGGUGGAGUGCUCGGAUGGAAAAGUGGUCAUCCUGAAUUUAAGAGAUAUUUUCGUCUUAGUAGAACGUUGGCCCAUGAUUUAGGAUUUCUUGGUUCCAUAUCUCCUGAACUCCACCAAUUGAAGAUGCUUUUGGAAUGCCAGGUAGAUCAGGAUCAACGACUGACAGUUGCCGCUUUCUGAACGAGCAGAUCUAUCAGCUGGAAGCUCAGGAGGCUCAGUCUCUGAUGCCAAACCAAGUGCCUCUUCCUCUGGAGCGUCAACUGCCAAGGUAUCGACUGACAAGUACCAAAAUUCUGCUGUUGUAGCUGGUGUUAUAACUACUACUGCUUCUCUCGGUUGGUCUCCCAAAGCUAGUCGAAAGAAGGAAGAAGUGCAAGACUGAGGUUGUGACUUGGGUUGGUGCUGCAGGAUCCAUGCUUUCCAUCUUCUCCAUCCUCAUCCUCCUUCAAUCCAGAUACAUAAUGUUGCAAGGCCCCUUCCCAUUUUUGUUGCCAAUAAUGUCACUAGUUUUACGCUUGUGCUUGAGUUCAACAAGAGCAAGCUGCAGAACUUGUACUAAAAAAGGGAUGGGUGCUCCAAAUGUUCAGGAAGCUCCACCGCAAAAAAAAAAAAAAAAAAAAAAAAAAAAAAAAAAAAAAAUAUCUCUGCACAUCCGUGGUGGUCCCUGCCAAGCUCAGCCUGCUCUCCGCCAUCACCUUCUCCGACUGCAUUGCGCAAACCUCCAGCGAGUCGAACAUGGUCCAGUAGUAGUGCAGCGCCUUCGUAAACCGGUCCAAAAAGUUGGGUUUUGUUAUGGUCUGCUUCCUGCUCCACUAACCACCCCUCGUACGUCAACAUCACUUCAUCGUCGGUCCUCCAGCUGCCUGACGACUUGCUGUGCUCGGUGGCUGGCCUCAAUGACAGUGCAAGGAUGACAGGCAGUGCAAUGGUGUGCAGCAGGCAGUGCAAUGGUGCAGCGACGGCGGUGCAGCAAGGACAGCAGAACGUGAGCAACCCGGUUCGAUACAUCUUCUUCUUCCUCUCUACCGUCGGUUUGGUUGAAAGUUAUGGCCCUUCUACUAUGCGAUGAAGUGGGAGAAGGCAGCAAUUCUUUUAUAAAGCCACAAGAGGCAAAGUGGAAUACCCGUGCUUUCCACUUUGCUUCUCCGUCGAAGAAUCAUUCUUCUGGGUUCUCAAGAAUAAAAAAUAAAAAAAAUAAAAAAUAAAAAGAAAGAAAAAGAUAAAUAUAUAAAAAGAGUGAUGGUGCAUCUGGCACCAUGUGAAAGAAAAGAAAGAAAAAAAUAUAUAAAAAGAGUGAUGGUGCAUCUGGCACCAUGAGAAAGAAAGAAGAGAAAUAAAAAAAAAUAUAUAUAAAGAGGAAUGGUGCAUCUGGCACCACGUGAAAAAAAAAGAGGGAAUGGUGGAUCACACCAUGUGAAAAAAUAGAGGGAAUGGUGCAUCUGGCACCAAACAAAAAAAAAAAAAAAAAAAAAGAGAGGGAAUGGUGGAUCAGUCCACGUGAAAAUAUAUAUAUAAUAUAUGUAUAUAUACAUAAAAAAUAUAUAAAAAAUAUAAAAAAAAACAAAAACAAAACAAAUGCAUUGAGAGAAAUAAAAUCUAUUUUUAUUUAUUUCUCUGGAAAAAUUACAUAAAAUUGCAUUCUACAAAAAAAAAAAAAAAAAAAUACAAAUGUGCAAGCAGCAAACAUAAGGGGCCUUCAUUGAUCAGAUGGCGCCUUAUCACUCGGUGGAACUCCGGGAAGAAGAGGAGCCGGAGGUUGAUCAUUUGGAACUUCACUACGCGGUACAGCCCCAGAAGACGAAGGCAAAUGUUGUUGGAACAAACCCACAAACCUCUGAUGAUCAAGUAAAAUCUGACCAUCAGAUUCCUGCAUCUGGUCAAUCUUCCUCUUCAUGUUUGUCGCAUAGCUAUGUGCGAGCUUAUGCAACUGUUUAUUCUCCUGCUUGAGCCCUCUAAUCUCCUGUUUGAGACUCAUCACUUCAGCCGCCAAUGAUUCAACUUGACGGGUUCGAGCAAAUAGGCGUUGGGCCAUAUUAGACACAGAACCUGCACACUGCACACUGAGAGCCAGAGAAUCCUUAACAGCCAACUCAUCAGACCGUUUGGAAAGUAGUCUGUUAUCUCUGGGAGUGACAAGGUUCCGGGCCACCACCGCAGCGGUCAUAUCAUUCUUCACCACUGAAUCCCCAACGGUAAGAGGACCAGUGGGAGAUAUGAAGGAUGGGCGCCAUAUGUUAUCUGGAGAAGAAGGGACUGCCUCUUCACCAAGAUUCAAGUCAAAACGACGAUCGGAGGGGCCAGACAUUUUCAAAGGUGUUAAAGAAAGAAGAGAUCGGACAAAUCAAGCUCUUAGAAGUACAAGAGGGGAGUUUUCACAAGCGAAAAUUCAAGUGUGCUUUGAAACGAACUGCAUGCCUCUAUAAAAAAUCAGCACUCGACGGGAUUUCAGAGAUCGAAGAGGCGAGCUCAGAAUUCGAAGAGGCCAUUCAAAAAUCGAAGAGGCAAGCUCAGAAAUCGGAGAAGCAUCUUGCUUUUCCAGACGCGUCGGCACCCGUCACACGCAAACUCAGCUUUGCGAAAAUCACGGGCAAUUUGUCGAAGCGCCGAUCCCAGAUAUCGAAGAGGCGCCAGUCUUUUUCAGCCACGUCAACACCCAUCACACGCAAACUCAGCUUUGCGGAAAUCACGGAUAAUUUGUCGAAGCGCCGAUCCCAGUUAUCGAAGAGGCGCCAGUCUUUUUCAGCCGCGUCAACACCUGUCACAUGCACACUCAGCUUGGCGGAAAUUACGGACAAUUUGUCGAAGAUUUCUGAUAAAGAAGGAAGCACGUGAAGCCAUAUAGAUCAAUCACGCAUUGGUUGCCGACACGAGUGAAAGAAUAGUACCUCUACAGGUAUCAAAGAACUUCCUAUAAUUGUCUACCUUCGCCUUCCAUAACAAGGGAGACAUACAGAGUCUUUCUUCAUCUCCAAAGAUGCUUUCUCAACGAAGCCUCUCGAGUCAUUCAGUGUUCCUUAUUCCUUGGGGUACCUCUGCAAGCCAAUGACUCCAAAGCAAAAUUAUCUCAUAUCACCAGGGUAGAAAGCAAGAGUAUCUCAUAUCAUGUGUUCUCCCUGUCAUUUCCUUUGUCCUUGUUCUUACCUACAAAGACAAGGAUAAAGAAAACAAUAUGCCGGAACUUCCACUCAAACUCGGGUAAGGAACCGACUGCUUGGAACCCUUCCCUGAUUGCCUACCUAGCACUGCUCUCGAGUACUCGUUUCCCACUGCUGUUGUACUUCCAAAGAAGCUACCACAUCUGCCUGAAGAACAGAUAAGGCAAGUGAAAAUGAUACCUUGCAGCAUGUGGAGACAAGGUGCAGAAGGAACAAGCAGAGAAGAAUGCGGUCUGCACAGUCAACUCAGCAGAAGGAGUCCAAACUGAGGAACUCGAGAAGCUGCCACAUCUGCCUGAAGAAACAAGCAGAGAAGAAUGCAGCAUGCACAGUCAACUCAGCAGAAAGAGUCUGAGAUGAAGAACUCGAGAAGAUGCCGCAUCUGCCUGAGACGGUGAACUUGUUUUGACCCUCAAAUUCUUGGGUCGACUUACUAGGCGUUGUGGGCUGCAUGUGCCGAUUCACCACCCUUGAAUCAAAUCCUUAAAGACCAAGUCACCAAUUGGAAGAGGAGCCCAUCAAUCUCGAAGAUCAUACCGUUGACCAAACUACUCAGGUGUGAAUUAGAAAGAUUGAACAAAGCAACAAGUCGUCACCUUCACCUCGUGCCUGCUUGCCGUGUGUUCGAGUCAGCCUUCAAGAAUCAAGCCUCAACGGCCCUUGAAGAAGCUUCCAGCCAAAUUCAAAAUCAAGCCUCGACGGCCCUGGAAGAAAUCACAAGUCCGAUUCAAGAUUAAGUGUCUACCACCCUUGAAUCAAAACCUAGUUCAAGAAUAAGCUGUGGAAAAUCAACAAUUGGAGGAAUCUAGAAAAUCCUUCAACCCAGUUCAAGAUCAAAGUCGUGGAAAGUCAACAAAGCGCAACAAAAUAUGUGCCGAUUCACCCACUACCAAAGCCAAAGAUCAUCUACCACAUGAAGUUCCUUGUGGUUCAAUUUCAACCUUCAAAAUCAAGCCUCGACGGCCCUUGAAGAAAUUUCAAACAACAAUUCAAGAUCAAGCCUCAACGGCCCUUGAAUCGACAUCUACAGUAAGGGACUUCAAAACGCAUCUCCUACAUGUGACAAGCACAUGUAUACGACGCGCCUUGAAGUGGGGGCAUUUGUAGACAUCGAAAUUUCGGUAAAUAAAUGUUGACCGAUAAAUCAAAGUGUCAACGCUCAUGUAUUACAUAAAUUUUACACGUAGCAUGUGACUCAAUGAAAAUUGAAAUGAGUUGGAAAAGUCAUCAAAUAGGACACGUGUCAACACCUGGCAGAAACGACUUAUUUCAUCUGGGAUAUUAUAUUCAAAAUUAGGCAUUGGAAAUUUAUAAAUAGAAGGCUAAUUCAUUCAUAAGGGGGACCAAUUCAGAUUACACAUUGAAGCUCUGAAGCUCUGAAACUCUGAAGCUCUCAAGCAUCCAGGUUCCCGAAGAAUCAAGAAAGCCUUCUUCGUUCUUCGUUCAUUGCUCUUUCAAGAUCAAGCCCCGACGGCCCUUGAAGAAAGCACCAUCGUUCAUCAUCCGUUCAUCCAAGAUCAAGCCCCAACGGCCCUUUGGAUCAACAAACGUCGACAAAUCCACACAUCCAACCGUUCUUCAAGAUCAAGCCCAAAAGCCCUUGAAGAUCCGUUCAUCACUGUUCUUCAAAGAUCAAACCCAAACACCCUUGAAGAUCCGCUCAUCACCGUUAUUCAAGAUCAAGCCUCAAACGGCCCUUGAAGAAACAUUCAUCCUCAAGAUCAAGCCCCAACGGCUCCUUGAAGAUCCGCUCAAAUCCAACUUCAAAGAUUAAGCCCACGGCCCUUUGAAGAAACUUCCAACUGUUCAUCCAAGAUCAAGCCUCGACGCCCCUUGGAUCAACAAAAUAUCCACAAAUCAACACCUUACGGAGAUCGAAUCAGAGGAUCAAAUUUGAGAGAGAUUGUAACCCAAAAUCAUCAAAUACAAAUAUUUGUUUGUGCGCGUUGUUCUUGUCUCUUUCGUUUCAGGAAUUUUCCGUGUUCACAGUCACUUCUCAUAUUUAUUUAUGAAAAUUUUGUGUUUGCUUAAGAAAUACUAGAUACAUAACUUUAGAGAGUAUUUCUUAAGGUAUAAGUUGUUGGAAAUUCUUUGGUUGUAACAUGAGAUUCGUCUCAAUAUAUUUAUCUCACUAAUUACUUAAUUCACUUAAGCAUGGUUACUCUUACUUGCAAUAAUCUUUCUAAUAGUUUAGCUUGAUUUAGUUUAUAGAUUCCAAAACAAAUUGCGAGUCUCAAGAAGUUGUUUUAGGACGGUAGUAAACGAGAGAUUUGUUAAUGUGUGUUUAAAAUACAAAAUGAAUAUAACAUAUCAUUAUACUAUUAGAGAAACACUUGAAAUAGAUUUUGUCUCAUCAAAAGACAUAAGAUGAAUCACUCGUUAAUAAAAAUAACAACGAUUGACGAGGCUACCCUUUGAUUUGAUUGUGUGAGUCCACCGUUUCCUCUCAUCCCAUGUCCCUUGUAAUAAAGGUUUUCUUGUUGAUCAAGUACUUGUUUGAACUUGGAGCAAAUGUUUCCACUUCUUGGGUAGAGAUUAUGACUACCUCAGUUUCUUGUUGAUCAAGUACUUCUUUGAGCAAUGUUCCAUCGACUGGCAGAACCAAUCUAUAAAAGCAUAGAACUUGUAGCUAAUGGGGCCGUAGCUCAUGAUUACUUUGUGACUUCAUCUCUCAUUCCAAUGCUACAACUUACAACCAGGUAAAUAUUGUUUGAUAAACCCCAUGAUCAAAAUUUUGUUCCAAUAGAAUCGCUAAAUGAGCAGACAAUUGUUUACGCAUGAUUCUUUUAGACGCAUUAAAAUAAGAGGUGUGCUAUCCACACCUCAUUUUAUUUCUCAUACCCCUCUUGAUAAUUUCUGUCCUUUGAUCUUCUUUAAUUUAUCCAAUCCGACGGCUGAAAAUUAAAAAUAUGUGUGAGAAGUAAAAUGGGGUGUGUGGAUAUCACACCCCUAAAAUAAUAUAUAAGUUGUUUUAGGCUUAACAUUUGAGACUUGAAAAGCCCACCAAAGGAUGAGAAAAUCAAGACAUAGGGCCUCCAAGCCAGCAAAAGGAAUUUAGAUAAUAGAGUGCCACCACGAGAAAGAAAGACAACUGCCUUCAACAACUGCAUGUAGCCCCGUCUACCAACAAGAAGAGAGGUGCAUAGAACUUAAAGCACUUUCUGACCGCUCAAGCCAGUUGGCAGGCUUGACAAUUUUCUAGCAUGGAGCUUCAUGACAGGUACGUCCAGACGUCAACUUCGAACCAUGUGUUGGCCAUCGACGAGAAAAGAAAUAUAUGAAGAAAUAUAAAUGUUGUCAAGCUUAGCGCUCAGUCCUUAAUUCUCGUCUAGUUUGUUCACAAAAAACAAAAGGACGAGAUAAAAACGGAUGUGUAGAAAUCAUCCCUAAUUACUAAUUUAGCAUGCUUAUCUUCUCAAUUUUAGAUUCUUUUUUAUGUGUACCAACCAUGUAUCUUCUCAAAUUUAGAUUCUGUUUUUAUCUUCUCAAUUUGGAAUGAUUGUGAGCCCACUUGACAGGGCUUGCAAUUGCAAAGCAACAAGAAGUGAGACGAAUCCAUACAAAUCAAUAACUGAUCAUAUAUCAUCAAGUAGGAUCUUGAAAAUCCAGUCGUUUUAGGUAAAAAGCAUUCCACAUUACAGCAACUGGAGACCCACACACAUGAUCCUCCCCCCUCCUUCCUCAAAAGAUAAAAAAUAAUUUGGCCAAGGCUAGUGAGAAACAGUUAAAAGAAUGAAGAAUAUCAACCAGAAAAUACUUUCCAAC